rnacentral:rRNA from 1 species
CGGACGGGUGAGUAAUGUCUGGGAAACUGCCUGAUGGAGGGGGAUAACUACUGGAAACGGUAGCUAAUACCGCAUAACGUCGCAAGACCAAAGAGGGGGACCUUAGGGCCUCUUGCCAUCGGAUGUGCCCAGAUGGGAUUAGCUAGUAGGUGGGGUAAAGGCUCACCUAGGCGACGAUCCCUAGCUGGUCUGAGAGGAUGACCAGCCACACUGGAACUGAGACACGGCCCAG